GGCCCUUCCCCAAACCCUCCCCAUGGGCUGAGACAGGCUCUGUGAUCACCUGGGAGAGGCCUGUGACCCUCUGGUGUCAGGGGAACCUGGAGGCCCAGGAGUACCGAUUGGAUAAAGAGGGAAGCCCAGGGCCGUGGGACAGACAGAGCCCACUGCAGCCUGGAGACAAGGCCGAGUUCCCCCAUCAUAUCCAUGACAAAUGAAUAUGUAGGAUGAUAUUACUGUCACUAUUUCAGCCCCAGAGCUCACUGACUCCCUGGAGCUGGUGGUGAUAGGAUUCUACAGAAAAUCUACCUUCUCAGCCCCCCUGAGCCUGUUGCAACUUUAGGAGAGGACUCUCCAGCGUGGCUCAUGGCUGCAACUGGACAGAUUCAUUCUGACCGAGGAAGGAGAACUCAGUCUCUCCUGCACCCUAGACUCUCAGCAACACCCUAGUGGACAGUCCCAAGCUCUGUUUCCUGUGGGCCCCAAGACCCUCAGCCACAGAUGGAUGUUCAGAUGUCAUGGCAAUAACAGGAACACCCUUCAGGUGUGGUCGGAACUCAGCGACUCCCUGAAGCUCCUGUUCUCAGGUGUGUCUAGGACUCCCUGCACGGGACCAAACAGGGGCCCCUCCUAAUCUCUGGAGAGAGUCUGACCUUCCAGUGUUGCUCUGAUGUUGGCCACCAAGGACUUUUCCUGUCUGAGGAGAGGCGACAUGACCACCCUGGCACCAUGGCUGGCAGCCCCAGGCUGGGCUCCGUCAGGCUGACGUUUCCUUGGAGUGGCUCCCAUGGGAGCCAGGACAGAUGCUGACAGCUGCCUGAGGGAUAUUCCCUGUUGGUGCAGCCGGGCUCCAUGGUGGCCUCAGGAAAGAACAUGGUCCUGCUACAUCAGUGACACUUUUCUUAUUUCCAAGAAGGGAGCAGCAGAUCCCUACCUUUGUGUCUAAUAUCAAAGUACCAAGCUCAGCAGUACAGGCUGAAUUCUCCAUGAAUGCUGGGAGGACCUACAGGUGCUAUGUCUUAUAGAGUACCUCCCCCUACCUGUUUUCACACCCCAGGGACCCCCAGGGUUUGUGGUCUCAG
rnacentral:lncRNA from 1 species